AAAAAAAGGCACACGUCAGGGAAAGCCACAUCAGAGGGACUCAAAGGCUAAUGAAUAAAAGUAGGUUUUGGCCAGGACAUAAAAGAGUCAAUGAGGUGGGAGGAUCUGACUGGGAGGGGGAUGCUGUUCCACAGUUUGGGGGCAGACACAGCAAAGGCACGAUCACCCCUGAGUCUGGAGCUUGGGACAGCCGGGAGCCCCAGGUCAGCUGACCUGAGGGACCUCGGCAAAGAAUAGGAGGAGGAGGAGGAGGAGGUUAGGAGGUCUGCAAUGUAGGAUAGGGCCAGAACCUUAAAGUCGAGUCUGAACUUUACAGGGAGCCAGUGGAGAGAGGCCAAAAGAGGUGUGAUAUGGUCUCUCCUCUGGGUACCUGUGAGGAGCCUGGCAGCGGUGUUCUGGACCGGCUGAGCGGGACAGAGAGAACUGACUGAUAGGGAAUUCAUACUUCUGCGUUGAAUCAAUGUCAUAGCUACAGCUCUACGGCUCGCUAUUACCUAGGCCGUAACCUGAUGUGCACCUCCCCAGAAAGGUAACUACAUGUCGCGGCGAUGCAGAUCUCCCGUCUGUUUCUGUAAGCUGAAAACAUUUCCCUCAGUGGAAAUGAAGCUUUUAUUUACUUUAAUUUAACAGCACUUCACAGAAACUCCGCUGCUGACUAGUGUUUUGGAGGUGUAACUGCAGAGUGACACAGACACACCACCGCACAGGUCCAGAUGUGCACCACUGACCACUUCUAUCUGGCCUCACUAUGAGAGAAGACAAUGAGAAAUAGUUCACAGCUUUGCAGCAGAGGCCUUUGGGUGAAGUUUCUCACUGACACUGAUGUUGUAAACCAUCAAACACACUGACACAGGCUGUGUUUGUGUUUUACACAUCAGCAUUAAUCACUUGUAAAGAAGAAAAAAAAAAGAUCUCCGUCACGUCAGAACUUCAAGGCUCACAAAAAAACGUAUUCAGUCUGUCGUUUGCCAUCCGAACAUUUGUUGAGCACAGUAACCCCAGUUC